CUGCCUGCUCCUCCUCGUCUGACGUGACAGCAGCGGCCUCCUCCUCUCCGUUUUGUCCAAGCCAGUUGAUCCAUUUUUCUGUGGUAAGUCCAACCAUGGUCAUCCAAAUAACGAAGUCAGGAUCUUUAGUUGUUCAUACAAUUUAUGUAGAAUCUAGAUCUGAGGGCAUCCGGAUCUUGAUUUCCUUCUUUUGCUGGCUCAUUGGUGAAAAGAGUAGGCUUGUGAGUGGGAAAAUAAGGGUCCCUUUGCAUCUGUUUUCAGUAUGUUGAUUUGUUCAAUUUUCAAUUUGCUAGAAAGAGUUUUGUUCUCUCACAUAUCUCAAAAUUUUAGGACCUACAAUUGGUUGUGUUAUUAGCACUGAUGUUAGCUAAUAUAAUUGAGAAACUGAAAAGCUUCUUGUAUCAUUGCUAGAUAUGUACUUUUAGAAUAUGUACCGCAUAUAAAGAUGAGGCCUAUAGCUGCUUUCUCAGUGGUAUUUAUGUAUUUAUGUACAUUUGAAAAACUUUAUGAGCAAAUUGUAGUAUAAUGUCUUGAAAUCAGAUGUCAAAUAUUUACUCUUUUUUCAUGCUUGAUUUCUUGUAGCUUGAAUCUGCCAUAUCAAGGAUCCUUUGUUGAAGCUGCAGCCACACUGUUGUGCCACUCUCUUUUAGGUUUUGUUUCUCAUCUUUAGAAGUCUUUGUAGUGGAAGGAAGGGCAAGGCAAAACCUGUCUCAGGUACCUUGUUGUUUGGAACAUGUCAUCCCUUGAGCUCGGCACCUGUUCGCAUAUGCCCUGUUCGAAGAGUGAGUCAGUGCGUGUCCGUGCUCUGUUUUACGCGCGCGUGUGUGUGUUUUGGUUCAGGUGCAAGCCCAUGGAUGCUGAAGACUAUGAGGAGUACAUACCUCUUCUUUAUGAAGUUCUCGCAGGUCAGCAACAUGAGGGCAAAAAGGGCAGGACCUCGUUAAGAAUGUCGUCCUAGUGGGCACAAGGUCGAACAUGAAGCUACCAGUGAGUAUUGUUUAAUCCUAUCCAUUAUUUUAUAAAGCACCAAGAUGUAGUAUAACAUCUAAUGAUUGCAUUGCUGCCAUAUGCCAUAUCUAAGAUUUACAAAGAAAAACUAAAUGAACAUCCUUUUUUAGUCCUUGAUUAGCUAAAUUAUCAUCAAGUGGACCAGAUUAUCUUUUGGAGCCACUUUAAAAUAUAAAAUAUAUGUUUCAUGGGGCUGUAGGAUAUAUUGUAUAGAUAUGCUAAAAGAUGAAACUUGAAAGAGUUAAGCGGAUAACAACUCAUAUGGUGAAAGAUGUUGGUCAUCAUCUCCUUCUCUUUCCAAUAUUAUUCCCGUUACUUGUGUACAUGACUUUGCAGGGAACACCGAGUUAUCCUCUGUUAGCUUGGAGGAUGGUGCUAUGGGCGACCACGUCGGCAAUGGCAACAGCGAAGGCAACAAUGAUGUUGAGAACAUGGUGGUAGCCUAAGGUGACUUAGAAACUUAUGAAGGUGUAGAUGAUGCUCCAGAUCAUGAACCAGUGGACUUAGUACAACUGACAUGUUACUGCUGUUGAGCAAAUAAAACAACAGCAAUUAAAAUUUUCAGAUGUCAUCUACCAGAUGUUCAAUCAUGCAUGGAUACGUGCUAUGUAUAUACUGGUUUUGGAUGCUUGUACGAAGAUAUGAUGUGGAUUUUCACUUAAUGGGAUCAUACGUGGACCAUUGAUAUGUGCUAAUAAAUUUGUAAUUAUAGAAGGAUAUGGAUUUGUCA